GAGGAACAGUAAUCAAACGAGAUUUUCUUAGUAGCGGCGAGCGAACGGGAAAGAGGCCAAACCGGAGCGGGCAACCGCACCGGGGUUGAGGACAGUCAUCAAGUGUAAAUGAGGUAGAAGAAUCGAGCUGGAAAGCUCAGCCGCAGAAGGUGAAAGCCCUGUAAUCGAAACCUUGCAUACAUGGGACUGUAUCCAGAGUACCACGAGACACGUGAAACCUUGUGGGAAGCAGGGGGGACCACCCUCCAAGCCAAAAUACUGAUAUCGACCGAUAGCGCAUAGUACCGUGAGGGAAAGGUGAAAAGAACCCCUGGCGGGGAGUGAAAGAGAACCUGAAACCGUAUGUCUACAAACAGUCGAAGUCUGUAUAUAUAUCAGGACGACGGCGUGCCUAUUGAAGAAUGAACCGACGAGUUACUGUUGCUAGCGAGGUUAAGUGGAAAACAUGGAGCCGCAGCGAAAGCGAGUCUGAACAGGGCGUUCAGUUAGUAAUAGUAGACCCGAAACCGUAGUGAUCUAUCCAUGGCCAGGUUGAAGCACAGGUAAAAUUGUGUGGAGGACCGAACUCGUGAGCGUUGAAAAGCUUUGGGAUGAGUUGUGGAUAGGGGUGAAAUGCCAAUCGAACACGGAGAUAGCUGGUUCUCCCCGAAAUAGCUUUAGGGCUAGCCUCGAGGUAGAGAGUAUAGGCGGUAGAGCACUGAUCGGGCUAGGGGCCAUACCGGUUACCGAACCUAGUCAAACUACGAAUGGCUAUACUUAUACUCGGGAGUCAGACAGUGAAUGAUAAGGUCCAUUGUCAAGAGGGAAACAGCCCAGAACACCGACUAAGGUCCCCAAUGUUACACUAAGUGGCGAAGGAUGUGGAAUUUCCAAAACAACCAGGAUGUUGGCUUAGAAGCAGCCACCAUUUAAAGAGUGCGUAAUAGCUCACUGGUCGAGAGACUCUGCGCCGAAAAUGUCCGGGGCUAAAGUGUAAAACCGAAGUCGUGUCAUAUGCAGCAAUGUAUAUGGGUAGGGGAGCGUUCUCAUCGGGCUGAAGCAGUACCGUAAGGAGUUGUGGACUGAUGAGAAGUGAGAAUGUCGGUAUGAGUAGCGAAAAGAAUGGUGAGAAUCCAUUCCACCGAAAGCCUAAGGGUUCCUGAGCAACGAUCGUCGUCUCAGGGUAAGUCGGGACCUAAGCCGAGGCGGAAAAGCGUAGGCGAUGGACAACAGGUUGAAAUUCCUGUACCGGUGUGAAUCGUUUGAUCGAUGGAGUGACACAGUAAGGUAGGUCAGCACGCGAUUGGAAGAGCGUGUUUAAGCAGGUAGGUUGAGCUAUAGGCAAAUCCGUAGCUCUAAAAGCUGAGAUGUGAUGACGAGUGACUAGCAAUAGUCGCGAAGUGAUUGAUCCUACACUGUCGAGAAAAGCUUCUAGGUAGAGACACAUCGCCCGUACCAAAACCGACACAGGUAGGCGGGGAGAGAAUCCUAAGGUGCGCGGGAAAACCCUCGUUAAGGAACUCGGCAAAAUGCCUCCGUAACUUCGGGAAAAGGAGGACUCAUGUAGUGUGAAGAGCAGAAGCGCUUGGAGCAUGAAUGAGUGGCACAAGAGAGGCGCAAGCGACUGUUUACCACAAACACAGGUGCCUGCUAAAGCGAAAGCUGAUGUAUAGGUGCUGACACCUGCCCGGUGCUGGAAGGUUAAGAGGAGGGGUUAGACUUCGGUCGAAGCUCUGAAUUGAAGCCCCAGUAAACGGCGGCCGUAACUAUAACGGUCCUAAGGUAGCGAAAUUCCUUGUCGGGUAAGUUCCGACCCGCACGAAAGGUGUAACGACUUGCGCACUGUCUCAACGAGGGACCCGGUGAAAUUGAAGUACCUGUGAAGAUGCAGGUUACCCGCGACUGGACAGAAAGACCCCAUGGAGCUUUACUGCAACCUAAGAUUGAACUUAGUUAAUGAAUGUACAGGAUAGGUGGGAGACGUAGAACCUAGGACGCCAGUUUUAGGGGAGUCGCUGUUGGGAUACCACCCUUUCAUUAAUUGAUUUCUAACGGGCCGAGUAACGACCGGCCGGACAGUCUUAGGCGGGCAGUUUGACUGGGGCGGUCGCCUCC
rnacentral:rRNA from 1 species